rnacentral:rRNA from 1 species
ACUGCGGCGUGCUAAUAGUGCAAGUCGAAGCGACGGACGAGAAGCUUGCUUCUCUGAUGUUAGCGGCGGACGGGCGAGUAACACGUGGAUAACCUACCUAUAAGACUGGGAUAACUUCUGGAAACCGGAGCUAAUACCGGAUAAUGAGUUUGAACCGCAUGGUUCAAAAGUGAAAGACGGUCUUGCUGUCACUUAUAGAUGGAUCCGCGCUGCAUUAGCUAGUUGGUAAGGUAACGGCUUACCAAGGCAACGAUGCAUAGCCGACCUGAGAGGGUGAUCGGCCACACUGGAACUGAGACACGGUCCAGACUCCUACGGGAGGCAGCAGUAGGGAAUCUUCCGCAAUGGGCGAAAGCCUGACGGAGCAACGCCGCGUGAGUGAUGAAGGUCUUCGGAUCGUAAAACUCUGUUAUUAGGGAAGAACAUAUGUGUAAGUAACUGUGCACAUCUUGACUGUACCUAAUCAGAAAGCCACGGCUAACUACGUGCCAGCAGCCGCGGUAAU